rnacentral:rRNA from 1 species
UGUGUAGGCGGUCCUCUAAGUUUGGUGUGAAAUCUCCCGGCUCAACCGGGAGGGUGCGCCGAAAACUGGAGGACUGGAGUGCGGGAGAGGAGAGUGGAAUUCCUGGUGUAGCGGUGAAAUGCGUAGAUAUCAGGAGGAACACCGGCGGUGUAGACGGCUCUCUGGACCGUAACUGACGCUGAGACACGAAAGCGUGGGGAGCAAACA